rnacentral:rRNA from 1 species
AGUGAACGCUGGCGGUAGGCCUAACACGUGCAAGUCGAACGGCAGCACAGUAAGAGCUUGCUCUUACGGGUGGCGAGUGGCGGACGGGUGAGGAAUACAUCGGAAUCUACUUUUUCGUGGGGGAUAACGUAGGGAAACUUACGCUAAUACCGCAUACGACCUACGGGUGAAAGCAGGGGAUCUUCGGACCUUGCGCGAUUGAAUGAGCCGAUGUCGGAUUAGCUAGUUGGCGGGGUAAAGGCCCACCAAGGCGACGAUCCGUAGCUGGUCUGAGAGGAUGAACCGCCAAACUGGAACUGGGACACGGUCCAGACUCCUACGGGAGGCAGCAGUUGGGAAUUUUUGGAAAUGGGCGGAAGCCUGAACCAGCACAUCCGCGGGGGUGAAGAAGGGCUUCGGGUUGUAAAACCCUUUUGUUGGGAAAGAAAAGCAGCAGGUUAAUACCCCGCUGUUCUGACGGUACCCAAAGAAUAAGCACCGGCUAACUUCGUG